UACAGAGGGUGCGAGCGUUAAUCGGAAUUACUGGGCGUAAAGCGCGCGUAGGCGGCUUUGCAAGCCGGAUGUGAAAUCCCCGGGCUUAACCUGGGAACUGCAUUCGGGACUGCAUUGCUAGAGUAUGGGAGAGGGAAGUGGAAUUUCAGGUGUAGCGGUGAAAUGCGUAGAUAUCGGGAGGAACAUCAGUGGCGAAAGCGGCUUCCUGGACCAGUACCGACGUUCAGGCACGAAAGCGUGGGGAGCGAACAGG
rnacentral:rRNA from 1 species